UUUAGUACGGAGUUUCUCUCAAGUGUGUAUUCGGUCUGUACACAGGGAAAGCUGUGACCGAGCAAAUGCAAAUAACACUCCCUAAGAACAUGAUUGAUGGAUCUGCCCGUGCUUCACUAUCAGUCCUGGGUGACAUUCUGGGCCGAGCCCUGAAGAACCUGGAUGGGCUGCUGCAGAUGCCGUAUGGAUGUGGAGAGCAGAACAUGGCGCUCCUGGCCCCCAACAUUUACAUCCUCCAGUACCUG